GGUAGCAGCAGCUCACAUACUAAAAUUGGAAAACACAAAUACAGAGAAGAUUAGCCCGGUCCCUGCACAAGGGUGACACACAAAUUUGUGAAACAUUCCAUGUUUUU
rnacentral:snRNA from 1 species